rnacentral:rRNA from 1 species
GACGAACGCUGGCGGCGUGCCUAAUACAUGCAAGUUGAGCGCUGAAGGUUGGUACUUGUACCAACUGGAUGAGCAGCGAACGGGUGAGUAACGCGUGGGGAAUCUGCCUUUGAGCGGGGGACAACAUUUGGAAACGAAUGCUAAUACCGCAUAAAAACUUUAAACACAAGUUUUAAGUUUGAAAGAUGCAAUUGCAUCACUCAAAGAUGAUCCCGCGUUGUAUUAGCUAGUUGGUGAGGUAAAGGCUCACCAAGGCGAUGAUACAUAGCCGACCUGAGAGGGUGGUCGGCCACCUUGGGAUGGAGACACGGCCCAAGCUCCUACGGGAGGGAGCAGGAGGGAAUCUUCGGGAAUGGACGAAAGUCUGACCGGGCAACGCCGAGUGAGUGAAGAAGGUUUUCGGAUCGUAAAACUCUGUUGGUAGAGAAGAACGUUGGUGAGAGUGGAAAGCUCAUCAAGUGACGGUAACUACCCAGAAAGGGACGGCUAACUACGUG